AUUGAACGCUGGCGGCAUGCCUUACACAUGCAAGUCGAACGGUAACAGGCCGCAAGGUGCUGACGAGUGGCGAACGGGUGAGUAAUGCAUCGGAACGUGCCCAGUCGUGGGGGAUAACUGCUCGAAAGAGCAGCUAAUACCGCAUACGACCUGAGGGUGAAAGCGGGGGACCGUAAGGCCUCGCGCGAUUGGAGCGGCCGAUGUCAGAUUAGCUAGUUGGUGGGGUAAAGGCCUACCAAGGCAACGAUCUGUAGUUGGUCUGAGAGGACGACCAGCCACACUGGGACUGAGACACGGCCCAGACUCCUACGGGAGGCAGCAGUGGGGAAUUUUGGACAAUGGGCGCAAGCCUGAUCCAGCAAUGCCGCGUGCAGGAAGAAGGCCUUCGGGUUGUAAACUGCUUUUGUCAGGGAAGAAAUCUUCUGGGCUAAUACCCCGGGAAGAUGACGGUACCUGAAGAAUAAGCACCGGCUAACUACGUGCCAGCAGCCGCCGUAAUAC
rnacentral:rRNA from 1 species